rnacentral:misc_RNA from 1 species
AAGUCGUAACAAGGUUUCCGUAGGUGAACCUGCGGAAGGAUCAUUAUCACAUGAUUCCAUGUUAAACUAUCGUGCAUUGUCACCCCCUUUUCGAUCAUUGAGUUUUGGGUAACGGGAGAAGCGUUUUAACGGUCACUUAUUGUAAUUUGAAGACCCAGCUUCUCUCUAUGGAUUCGUCCUACCGAUCUCAGCCUAUAUCGAAGAGUGUAAUUCAAAUUACAAUCUUAUCUUCAUUGAUAAUAAAACAAUUGAAACCCCUUUUAAACUUUUGAACUAACGUUUUCAUACUCCAAUAAAACG